rnacentral:rRNA from 1 species
AGAGUUUGAUCAUGGCUCAGAGUGAACGCUGGCGGCGUGCUUAACACAUGCAAGUCGAACGAGAACGGGUAUUAGCUUGCUAAUACUGUCAGCUAAGUGGCGCACGGGUGAGUAAUAUAUAGGUAAUGUGCCUUCGAGAAGGGGAUAACAGUUGGAAACGACUGCUAACACCCUAUAUGCCUUUAAUACAUAAGUAUGCAAGGGAAACAUUUAUGGCUCGAAGAUCGGCCUGUACAGUAUCAGCUAGUUGGUGAGGUAAUGGCUCACCAAGGCAAUGACGCUUAACUGGUUUGAGAGGAUGAUCAGUCACACUGGAACUGAGACACAGUCCAGACUCCUACGGGAGGCAGCAGUGGGGAAUAUUGCACAAUGGGGGAAACCCUGAUGCAGCAACGCCGCGUGGAGGAUGACACAUUUCGGUGCGUAAACUCCUUUUAUAUAGGAAGAUAAUGACGGUACUAUAUGAAUAAGCGCCGGCUAACUCCGUGCCAGCAGCCGCGGUAAUACGGAGGGCGCAAGCGUUACUCGGAAUCACUGGGCGUAAAGAGCGUGUAGGCGGAUAAAUAAGUUUGAAGUGAAAUCCUGUGGCUCAACCAUAGAACUGCUUUGAAAACUGUUUAUCUAGAAUAUGGGAGAGGUAGAUGGAAUUUCUGGUGUAGGGGUAAAAUCCGUAGAGAUCAGAAGGAAUACCGAUUGCGAAGGCGAUCUACUGGAACAUUAUUGACGCUGAGACGCGAAAGCGUGGGGAGCAAACAGGAUUAGAUACCCUGGUAGUCCACGCCCUAAACGAUGUACACUAGUUGUGUGAGGCUAGACCUUGCAGUAAUGCAGUUAACAACAUUAAGUGUACCGCCUGGGAGUACGGUCGCAAGAUUAAAACUCAAAAGAAAAGACGGGGACUCGGCACAGCGGUGGGAGCAUGGUGGUUAAUUCGACGAUCCGCGAAGACCUUACCUGACUUGACAUAGUAAGAACUUUCUAGAGAAUAGAUUGGGUCUGCUUGCAGAACUUUAUAUACAGGGUGCUGCAAGUCUGUCGUCAGCUCUGUCGGGAAGUGUGGAUUAGUCCGCAACGAGGCCACCUCGGCGUAAGUUGCUAACGUU